GAUGAACGCUAGCUACAGGCUUAACACAUGCAAGUCGAGGGGCAGCGGGAUUGAAGCUUGCUUCAAUUGCCGGCGACCGGCGCACGGGUGAGUAACGCGUAUCCAACCUUCCGUACACUCAGGGAUAGCCUUUCGAAAGAAAGAUUAAUACCUGAUGGUAUGAUGAGAUUGCAUGAUAUCAUCAUUAAAGAUUUAUCGGUGUACGAUGGGGAUGCGUUCCAUUAGGUAGUAGGCGGGGUAACGGCCCACCUAGCCAACGAUGAAUAGGGGUUCUGAGAGGAAGGUCCCCCACAUUGGAACUGAGACACGGUCCAAACUCCUACGGGAGGCAGCAGUGAGGAAUAUUGGUCAAUGGACGAGAGUCUGAACCAGCCAAGUAGCGUGAAGGAUGAAGGUCCUACGGAUUGUAAACUUCUUUUAUAAGGGAAUAAACCCUCCCACGUGUGGGAGCUUGUAUGUACCUUAUGAAUAAGCAUCGGCUAACUCCGUG
rnacentral:rRNA from 1 species